UCAGGGUCAACUCAGGUCUGGCGAUCAGGUUCAGAAGCACCAUCUUUUUGAGCCAAUUUCUAUGUGGAUCACUGUUGGAGGGUAUGCACUUAUAUACCUUAUGGGGAUAAUGAAAAUAGCGAUUGAGGUAUUUAUAAAAUUAUAUGCUUCAUUUUAUCAUAGUUUAUUAAUUUGGUUGAAUGCAUCAAAGGAGAUCUUGGGAUUUAGGGUUUCGAGUAUUCUUGGAUUUCAUAAAUAUUUUUGAAAUCCAACCUUCUGCUAUUUGAUCGAAACCCAACAGUGGUAUUAGAGCCUCU
rnacentral:lncRNA from 1 species